CCUACGGGAGGCAGCAGUGGGGAAUAUUGGACAAUGGGGGGUACCCUGAUCCAGCCAUGCCGCGUGUGUGAAGAAGGCCCUCGGGUUGUAAAGCACUUUCAGUGAGGAAGAACGCCUGGUGGUUAAUACCCAUCAGGAAAGACAUCACUCACAGAAGAAGCACCGGCUAACUCCGUGCCAGCAGCCGCGGUAAUACGGAGGGUGCGAGCGUUAAUCGGAAUUACUGGGCGUAAAGCGCGCGUAGGUGGCUUGAUAAGCCGGUUGUGAAAGCCCCGGGCUCAACCUGGGAACGGCAUCCGGAACUGUCAAGCUAGAGUGCAGGAGAGGAAGGUAGAAUUCCCGGUGUAGCGGUGAAAUGCGUAGAGAUCGGGAGGAAUACCAGUGGCGAAGGCGGCCUUCUGGACUGACACUGACUCUGAGGUGCGAAAGCGUGGGUAGCAAACAGGAUUAGAUACCCGAGUAGUC
rnacentral:rRNA from 1 species